rnacentral:rRNA from 1 species
GCCUGGUAGCGGGGGAUAACUAUUGGAAACGAUAGCUAAUACCGCAUAAUAUCUUUGAUUGCAUGAUUGAAGUUUGAAAGAUGCAACUGCAUCACUACCAGAUGGACCUGCGUUGUAUUAGCUAGUAGGUGAGGUAAAGGCUCACCUAGGCGACGAUACAUAGCCGACCUGAGAGGGUGAACGGCCACACUGGGACUGAGACACGGCCCAGACUCCUACGGGAGGCAGCAGUAGGGAAUCUUCGGCAAUGGGGGCAACCCUGACCGAGCAACGCCGCGUGAGUGAAGAAGGUUUUCGGAUCGUAAAGCUCUGUUGUAAGAGAAGAACGUGUGUGAGAGUGGAAAGUUCACACAGUGACGGUAACUUACCAGAAAGGGACGGCUAACUACGUGCCAGCAGCCGCGGUAAUACGUAGGUCCCGAGCGUUAUCCGGAUUUAUUGGGCGUAAAGCGAGCGCAGGCGGUUGGAUAAGUCUGAAGUUAAAGGCUGUGGCUCAACCAUAGUAUGCUUUGGAAACUGUUCAACUUGAGUGCAGAAGGGGAGAGUGGAAUUCCAUGUGUAGCGGUGGAAUGCGUAGAUAUAUGGAGGAACACCGGUGGCGAAAGCGGCUCUCUGGUCUGUAACUGACGCUGAGGCUCGAAAGCGUGGGUAGCGAACAGGAUUAGAUACCCUGGNAGUCCACGCCGNAAACGAUGAGUGCUAGGUGUUAGGCCCUACCCGGGGCUUAU